rnacentral:rRNA from 1 species
AACGAACGCUGGCGGCGCGCCUAAUACAUGCAAGUCGAGCGAGAAGACGUAGCAAUACGUUUGUAAAGCGGCGAACGGGUGAGGAAUGCAUGGGUAACCUACCCUCGAGUGGGGAAUAACUAGCCGAAAGGUUAGCUAAUACCGCGUACGCUCCUUGGACUUCGGUUCAGGGAGGAAAGCGAUACCGUGGGUAUCGCGCUCUUGGAUGGGCUCAUGUCCUAUCAGCUUGUUGGUGAGGUAACGGCUCACCAAGGCUUCGACGGGUAGCUGGUCUGAGAGGACGAUCAGCCACACUGGCACUGCGACACGGGCCAGACUCCUACGGGAGGCAGCAGUAAGGAAUAUUGCGCAAUGGGCGAAAGCCUGACGCAGCGACGCCGCGUGGGGGA